UGUGAUGAAUCCCCCUAUGCGGCGGGGCGUCCAGACAGGCAGGUGAGUAGCGCGGUUCUGUGGUCUGGCAUAGAGUCACCGGGAGGCACCCGGCAUCACA
rnacentral:ncRNA from 1 species